AUUGUUUUUUACAAGAAAAUAUCUUUAAAAAGAAUCUGUUUCAUAUGGAGAUUAAUUUCUUAACAAUGGAAAUGAUACUUGUUUUGUCUUCAAGGUGAUGUAGGGAUUUUUUUUCUCCUUAUUUUAUGAUUAUGAUUUUCUAUGAUACUUUCUAGUUAUUUUCAGGCCAUUUCUAAUGUAGGUCCUGGUUACCUUACUGGACAAUUAGGGCAGGAGAAAUGAAAUGUCUUUCAUAUAUGAGUAUUGAACUAAAGUAGAAAUUUUCUGUUCCUGGCUCCACCACUAAUUUGCUAUAAUUGCCCACCCACAGAGCAUAAGGAUUAGAUAACACUUCCUUAUUUGUGUAAUAAAAGCGUACUUUAUAAUUUCAAACAUGCCUUUUAACUAUAUCAUUCUAUGAUUCCAGGUAGGCCAGAACAUUGUUAGGUAUACAGUAUAAAUAUUUAUAGAACAGUACAUAUCUUUCAGUUACUUCCUAAUCUGAUCUAUUCCUCACGGUCUUGCUGAAACCUUACUUCCUUCAUGAAGACUCCCUUGAGUAGUCAAACUUCCUGAACUAAAAAAUAGUUAGCACAGUAAUUACAUGUUAUCUUUAAAACACUGCUUAAUAAUUUCACAUAAGAAAGUCCUUGUUUUAAACUAAGCUGUAAAUCACCUUGACAGAGACAGGUUAUUGACCUCUAAUUUUAUACGUUCCUUGGGUUCAAUCACAGCACUGGUCUCACAAUGGAAGGUAAGCAAAUUCUUGUUAAAUGCAGAGUAAAUUUGAAUCAGCAACUAAAUUCCUAAUUUCCAAUGUCAGGACAUUCCUUUUAUCAGAGUGAGGUUCUGCAGACUGCAAUCCAGGUUCUCUGCACCUGAUGCUGUUUGAUCAUCAUCAUCACAAUCAUCAUCAUCUUUAUGAUUAAAGAGCAUUUGCUCAAUUUUUCUGGAAUGAAUGGCAGCAGCUCAAGAUCUCUCUUCAGAUUGAAGUAUGAAAAAAAGAAUAAGAAAAUAACACACUAGCCACUGCAGAAGAAAGUACAACAAAACAAGUCAUACAGCCACUGAUUGGUCCCUUCUACUAAAGUGGUAAUUCAAAAACCAAAAAACUUCAAUA
rnacentral:lncRNA from 12 species